ensembl:snoRNA
AUCCUCUUGUAGUUCAUAAUUAUGAUAAUUGAGUUUUCAUGGGUUGAUGUGAAACAUGCCUGUCUCAAACCUUGUUGCGAUGUCAACACAUUUUUGUCUGAAG